UUCGAUAAAUGUGCAUACGCUAGGUCUAAUAACAUCUAAUUUAACAAUUAUCUCUACUUCAAUGACGUCACAGCGCCGAGCACGUGUUAAAAAAAUCGAGAAAAUUUAUAAUUGCAGCGUCUCGGAUUAAGUUCGGGCGUGAAAUCAGUGAAAUGGCGUUUUUGAUAGAAAUAUUAAUAAAAUUCACUCACCAGAAAGUCCGACAAACUCCAUAAACGAAUGUGUCCAUAAAUACAGUUGUUGCGCCUGCGCCCUUUGCCGUGUUUUUGCGACGUUGUUUCAUUUCACUUAAACUCAAAAAUAUUUAAAUAUAUUUUAUGAAAUUUACAUUUAAACUUAAUAAUAUGUAAUUUAUAUCAUACAUAUGCAUUUGUUAAUACGUUUAUUUGAUA